GGGGAUGACGGUUUCGAUAGAGAUGAAUCGUGAAUUGGCGAGCCGAGUGUGAACUCGUUAAACUCACAAAAUUUCAUAACUGCCAACCAAAAAGUUGCAGCUCCCGCAUUCGCUUACGCCUAACAGGCUCGUCCUGCGAAGCUUUUAGCGAAGCAGGGAGGAUCGGUUCGCUCGGGUUCCUUGAGCGAGAAGCCGGUCUUAUAUAAGGGAACUCGCCGAAACACACAAGCUUCGUUAUGUGCUCGGUUAAAACAAACGAGGCAAACCCUGUCCGCUUCGGCGGGCUACGCUCGUAGAAGGUUCAUUGGUUCAAUCUUUACACGGCGGUUCAACCCGCCCAUCUCCACUG
rnacentral:tmRNA from 1 species